GUAUUACUCCCUCCGUUCCGAAUUACUUGUCUUAGAUUUGUCUAGAUACGGAGGUAUCUAGCACUAAAAUAAGUCUAGAUAUAUCUGUAUCUAGACAAAUAAUUCGGAACGGAGGGAGUACUCC
rfam:Triticum aestivum genome assembly, contig: Triticum_aestivum_CS42_TGACv1_scaffold_306523_4AS